UAUGGCUUAACCAUAGAACUGCUUGGGAAACUGAUAAUCUAGAGUGAGGGAGAGGCAGAUGGAAUUGGUGGUGUAGGGGUAAAAUCCGUAGAGAUCACCAGGAAUACCCAUUGCGAAGGCGAUCUGCUGGAACUCAACUGACGCUAAUGCGUGAAAGCGUGGGGAGCAAACAGGAUUAGAUACCCUGGUAGUCCACGCCCUAAACGAUGUAUACUAGUUGUUGCUAAGCUAGUCUUGGCAGUAAUGCACCUAACGGAUUAAGUAUACCGCCUGGGGAGUACGGUCGCAAGAUUAAAACUCAAAGGAAUAGACGGGGACCCGCACAAGCGGUGGAGCAUGUGGUUUAAUUCGAAGAUACGCGAAGAACCUUACCCGGACUUGAUAUCUAACAAAUCAUCUAGAGAUAGAAGAGUGUCUGCUUGCAGAAAUGUUAAGACAGGUGCUGCACGGCUGUCGUCAGCUCGUGUCGUGAGAUGUUGGGUUAAGUCCCGCAACGAGCGCAACCCACGUCAUUAGUUGCUA
rnacentral:rRNA from 1 species